rnacentral:rRNA from 1 species
UACCAGCUCUCCGAGUGGUGUGGAUGUUUAUUGGGCCUAAAGCAUCCGUAGCUGGCUGGGCAAGUCCCCUGUUAAAUCCACCGAUUUAAUCGUUGGAGUGCGGGGGAUACUGUUCGGCUAGGGGACGGGAGAGGCAGACGGUAUUUUCGGGGUAGGGGUGAAAUCCUAUAAUCCCGGGAAGACCACCAGUGGCGAAGGCUGUCUGCUAGAACGCGCCCGACGGUGAGGGAUGAAAGCUGGGGGAGCGAACCGGAUUAGAUACCCGGGUAGUCCCAGCUGUAAACGAUGCAGGCUAGGUGUUUGGGCGGCCACGUGCCGCUCUAGUGCCGCAGGGAAGCCGUUAAGCCUGCCGCCUGGGGAGUACGGCCGCAAGGCUGGAACUUAAAGGAAUUGGCGGGGGAGCACCACAAGGGGUGAAGCUUGCGGUUU